UACGUAGGGGGCAAGCGUUAUCCGGAUUUACUGGGUGUAAAGGGAGCGUAGACGGUUAUGCAAGUCUGAAGUGAAAGCCCAAGGCUCAACCAUGGGACUGCUUUGGAAACUGUAAAACAGGAGUGCAGGAGAGGUAAGCGGAAUUCCUAGUGUAGCGGUGGAAUGCGUAGAUAUUAGGAGGAACACCAGUGGCGAAGGCGGCUUACUGGACUGUAACUGACGUUGAGGCUCGAAGGCGUGGGGAGCAAACAGG
rnacentral:rRNA from 1 species